AAACGGGUGCGGAACACGUACGCAACCUCCCUUUAACUGGAGAAUAGCCCCUCGAAAGAGGGAUUAAUACUCCGUAACAUAUUGAUAAGGCAUCUUAUUAAUAUUAUAGCUCCGGCGGUUAAAGAUGGGCGUGCGCCUGAUUAGAUAGUUGGCGGGGUAACGGCCCACCAAGUCUGCGAUCAGUAACUGGUGUGAGAGCACGACCAGUCACACGGGCACUGAGACACGGGCCCG
rnacentral:rRNA from 1 species